UUUUUUUUUUUUUUUUUUUUUUUCUUGUUGAAAGAGUUAUUACAACUACAACUAUAACUAUAACUACAACUAUAACUACAACGAUAAGAACUAUCACUACUCUGAAGACAACGAUGUGUUUUCUCAAGAUGAUAACGGAUCUAGCUUCGCCAUCAAUAAGUAUGAGACAAAGGAGUCCAUCUUUGAUGAAACAUCCAUUUUCCUGUUGUACAUUUUUGCAGGACAACUAGCCUGAGCACAAGAGACAUGGNGUACUAGACCUUGUGCGGAAUGUCUACUUCAAAACUUGCAUCUUUAUAUCUGAUAUAUAGAGAUAUAGAGAUAUAGAGAUAUAGAGAUAUAGAGAGAGGCUGAUGAUUUAUAAACACAAACGAUAAGACUUGUAACAUGAAGUUUAUCGAAAAAGUCAAUCUUUAAAUUCCUUUCUGAACCUCUCUGUUAUGUCAGUGCUUCGGUACCAUGCUUUUAGUGCGGUCAUUUAAAGGCAUAGCGAUGAUAGUUCUAAAGUUACUGUAUUGAUCAAUUGGNAAGAACAUCCAAAUAAAAAAAAGCAUGCAAAAUGCUAGUAUUAUCAGUAACUGCNAAUAAAAAAAGAUAACAAAAAUUUACNGGAUCAUCGAGAAGAGUAGAUACUGAUAAUAUUGAGAUCCACAGCACUCAACAACAGUCUUGGGAUUUAUUUAGCCAUUUGCUUAACUUACUGGCCAACAAAAUUGUUGNUUGGCAUCGCCAUAAAAUUUGACCUANAAGUAAAAUNCGNGUUGGCGAAACAAUUCCAACCGGGUNCCNUUUU
rnacentral:sRNA from 1 species